rnacentral:rRNA from 1 species
UACGAACGCUGGCGGUGUGCUUCACACAUGCAAGUCGAACGGAGUGGCGGACGGGUGAGUAACACGUGGGAAUCUACCAUUAGGUGGGGAAUAACAGGCCGAAAGGACUGCUAAUGCCGCAUACCUUUUGAUGAGCCCGCGUCCGAUUAGCUAGUUGGUAGGGUAAAAGCCUACCAAGGCGACGAUCGGUAGGUGGUCUGAGAGGAUGAUCACCCACAAUGGGACUGAGACACGGCCCAUACUCCUACGGGAGGCAGCAGUGGGGAAUUUUACGCAAUGGACGAAAGUCUGACCGAGCAACGCCGCGUGAGUGAAGAAGGUUUUCGGAUCGUAAAACUCUGUUGUUAGAGAAGCGGUAUCUAACCAGAAAGCCACGGCUAACUACGUGCCAGCAGCCGCGGUAAUUC